GUCCUUGCCCUAAACGAUGUAUACUUGGUGUUGUUGGGCUCAACCCCGACAGUACCGUAGCUAACGCGAUAAGUAUACCGCCUGGGGAGUACGCUCGCAAGGGUAAAACUCAAAAGAAUUGACGGGGACCCGCACAAGCAGUGGAGCAUGUGGUUUAAUUCGAUGCAACGCGAAGAACCUUACCUGGGCUUGACAUGCACUUGACCGCUACAGAGAUGUAGUUUUCUCGCAAGAGACAGGUGCACAGGUGCUGCAUGGCUGUCGU
rnacentral:rRNA from 1 species